UAUAUUGAAAUUUGAUUUUGGUUUAAUUUAAAUAGUUUAAAGGUAAUUAUGAUAUGUAAGUAUUUGCGUGUUUUUGUGAUUUUAAUUUAUAAUUUUAAUAAUUUUAUAUUAUUGUUUUAUUCGCAGUCUAUAUUUUUAUAUAAUUCACUAAAGUGAGAUAUGGUUAAUUUUUAUUUGACUAGCAAAAAUUGUGCCAGCAGCUGCGGUUAUACAUUUAGUUGGAAUUAUUUAUAUUUGAAUGUUAUUUUGAUUUGUUUUUUAAUUGAUUAAUUAUUUUUAUUUAUUUUAAAGUGAAAUUUUAAAUUUUAAUUUAUAAUUUGGUAUAAAUAUUAUAAGAAAUUCUUAUUUAUAAACUAGGAUUAGAUACCCUAUUAUAGAGAAUGUAAAAUGUUUUCUCAGUAUUAUAAGUUAAGAUCUUUAAAUUGAAAAAAUUUGACGGUAAUUUAAUCAUUUUAGAGGAACCUGUUCUAUAAUUGAUAAUCCACGAUGAAUUUUACCUUAAUUUUUAGUUUGUAUAUCUCUGUUUGAUUGAAUGUUUUAUUAGGAGAUUUUCUAUUUAUUUUUUAUUUGUGAAAUUUAUGUCAGGUCAAGGUGCAGCUAUAUUAAGGUUUGAAAUGGGUUACAUUUAAUUAAUUAUUUUUGGAUUAAAUUAUUUGUAUUAUAUUUAUGAAAUUGGAUUUAAUUGUAAUGUACAAUAUAUAUUGUACAUGAUAUAUGUUCUUGAUUAAGUACACAUCGCCCGUCACUCUCAUUAAUAAGGUGAGAUAAGUCGUAACAAAGUAGUCCUAUCGGAAGAUGGGUCUGGAAUUAU
rnacentral:ncRNA from 1 species